ensembl:snRNA Gm22212 U6 spliceosomal RNA
GUAACUCUGGCAGCACAUAUACUCAAAUUAGAAUGAUACAGGGAAGAUUAGCAUGGCCUCUGCACAAGGAAUAACAUGAUUUUUAAAAAUUGCAUCACUUAUUUUU